CAUGUAAGAUGUGCUGGCUUCCCCUUUACCUUCCUCCAUGAUUGUAAGUUUCCUGAGGCCUCCCCAGCCAUGCUUCCUGUACAGCCUGCAGAACUGAUGCUCUAAAAGAUCCUGCUGGAGCUAUUAAGUUUCUACAGUUUAAAAAUUCUGAAUUCUGAAACACAUCUGGUGCACAGAAUUUCAGAACUGGACCCAGCAUCUGCAGCCAUAGAUAAGAUCAACCCAAGAGCUAUUAAGACCUCAAGCUGCUGCUGCCCUUUGGAGCUCUCUGAUCUGGAAAGAUGCUGAACAGCCUCACCUAGACACAUGACACCCGCUCGUCAAGCCCCCUUUCCCCCAGGGGUUCCCUUGUCCUCCUCCUCCUCCAGGUGGUAACCCUCAUACCAUAGCCUCUAGAUGACCUCUUGCUGUGAGGGACAUGCGAAUCUGUCAAAGCGCCACCCACAUAAAGCUUGUGGUGCUAUUGCCACCUCAUGGCUAUCCCCCAAAUCCUUCAAACCUACAUCAAGGCUGUCAGAUUCCCCUCCCACCUUCCCCACACAGAGGCUGUCAGCCAGGAACUCUGCUGAGACCAGAACCUCACCCUGCGGCAUGAGCUGCUCCAGCAUUUGAAGAAAAGCGUCUAUUUUCCAAGAGCUUCUCAUGACUUUCCCAUGCCAGAUCAUUACCCUUGCCCAAUAGAUGAGCAUGGCACGGGUCCAUCCAUCGCACGUUUUGAGCACCUACCACGUCC